UCUUUCUCUCUCUCUCUCAGACACAAACACACACACACACUUGGGGAGGUGGGCGGAGGAUGCAGGGGCAGCCAUGAUGCACGGUGGGGGGAGCGCUGCAGAGAGAGAGAGAGCGAGAGAGAGAGAGAGAGAGAGAGAGAGAGAGAGAGAGAGAGAGAGAGAGAGAUAGAGGAGGGGGGCGGCAGGGAGAGAGAGAGAGAGAGAGAGAGAGAGAGAUACGCAAGCCCAGUACACUCUGACAUUAACACACCCAGAGGAAGCAGCAGUACAAACGAGGAGAGAGGAAAGGAAUAUCCUCAUCCAUCAGGCAAGAUGCUGUGGAGAAUAAACUAACACAGAAACAUUGGAAAUCAUUGGGGAAAAACAGAGCAAAAAAACUUUGUUCAACUCCUGAACGCCUACUGUUUCUUACCCUUGGCUGUUUCAGGCAAGUUAAUAAUUAGUUUCAACCAGACACCCUGUGGAACAUUCUAUCUAAUGUGAUAGACUGACUAAGCUUGGGAGCUAUCUUCCAAA
ensembl:lncRNA